rnacentral:rRNA from 1 species
UACGUAGGGUGCAAGCGUUGUCCGGAAUUAUUGGGCGUAAAGAGCUCGUAGGCGGUUUGUCGCGUCUGCUGUGAAAACUCAGGGCUUAACCCUGAGCCUGCAGUGGGUACGGGCAGACUAGAGUGUGGUAGGGGAGAUCGGAAUUCCUGGUGUAGCGGUGGAAUGCGCAGAUAUCAGGAGGAACACCGGUGGCGAAGGCGGAUCUCUGGGCCAUGAACUGACGCUGAGGAGCGAAAGCAUGGGGAGCGAACAGGA